AUGGAGGUCCAGAUGAGACGGGGCGGCGCGACGUGCCUGGUCCAGGUGGCGGCGGCGGUCUCCUACGUGGUGCUGAUGGCGUCGGCGGGGGUGCGCGCGCAGCUGCGGGUGGGGUUCUACGACAGCUCGUGCCCGGCCGCGGAGAUCAUCGUGCAGCAGGAGGUGAGCAAGGCGGUGUCCGCCAACCCGGGCCUCGCCGCGGGCCUCCUCCGCCUCCACUUCCACGACUGCUUCGUCGGCGGCUGCGAGGCGUCGGUGCUGGUCGACUCCACAAAGGGCAACACGGCGGAGAAGGACGCCGGGCCCAACACGAGCCUGCGCGGGUUCGAGGUCAUCGACCGGAUCAAGGCCCGGGUGGAGCAGGCGUGCUUCGGCGUCGUCUCCUGCGCCGACAUCCUCGCCUUCGCUGCCAGGGACAGCGUCGCGCUGACUGGCGGGAACGCGUACCAGGUGCCGGCGGGGCGGAGGGACGGGGGCGUGUCGCGGGCGCAGGACACGGGCGGUAACCUGCCGCCCCCGACCCCCAACGUGAACCAGCUCACCAAGAUCUUCGCCUCCAAGGGGCUCAACCAGAAGGACCUGGUGACCCUGUCCGGCGCGCACACCAUCGGCGGCUCGCACUGCAGCUCCUUCAGCAGCCGCCUGCAGACGCCGUCGCCGACAGCGCAGGACCCGACCAUGGACCCCGGCUACGUGGCGCAGCUGGCGCAGCAGUGCGGCGCGUCCGCCUCGCCGGGGCCGCUGGUGCCCAUGGACGCCGUCACCCCCAACUCCUUCGACGAAGGGUUCUACAAAGGCAUCAUGUCCAACCGGGGCCUGCUCGCCUCCGACCAGGCGCUGCUCAGCGACGGGAACACCGCCGUGCAGGUGGUCUCCUACGCCAACGACCCGGCCACCUUCCAGAGCGACUUCGCCGCUGCCAUGGUCAAGAUGGGCUACAUCGGCGCGCUCACCGGCAGCAGCGGCAAGAUCAGGGCCAACUGUAGAGUCGUAUGA
rnacentral:rRNA from 1 species